GGGCUUGCUUCGGCGGCACAUACACGAAAAUUGGAAAGAUACAGAGAAGAUUAGCAUGGCCCCUGUGCAAGGAUGAUAUGCAAACGUGUGAAGCGUCCCAUAUUUUU